UACAGAGGGUGCGAGCGUUAAUCGGAAUUACUGGGCGUAAAGCGUGCGUAGACGGUUAUUUAAGUCGGAUGUGAAAGCCCCGGGCUCAACCUGGGAAUUGCAUUCGAGACUGAAUAGCUAGGGUGCGGUAGAGGGAAGCGGAAUUUCCGGUGUAGCGGUGAAAUGCGUAGAUAUCGGGAGGAACACCAGUGGCGAAGGCGGCUUCCUGGCCUGUUCUUGACGCUGAGGCGCGAAAGCUAGGGGAGCAAACGGGG
rnacentral:rRNA from 1 species